AAAUCCCAUAUUACCCCUGCUUAAUAAUUUGACACAUUAUGAUUUUGUUGGGACCUAAUUAUUUUGUUGAUUUUUACGAUACCUAUGUUCUUUAUUAAUAUAUUAAUAAGGUUGCCAGUUUUUUCAUAAUUUUUACAUGACAUAUAUUUAUACUCAUAUAUUAAUACAAGGAUCUAAUCUUAAUUUGACACAUCAUCAUUUUUAAGGGUAUUUUGUGUCAUAUUUGAAAGUUAGUAAAUAAUUUCAAUAUUUUAUUAUUUUUUCUGAGGUGGUUACUUCCAUUAUACUUGAUUUAUGGACUUCAAUCCAAUAUUCAAUUAAGUAAAUUUUAAAUUUUUAGUUUAACUAAAUACAUUUAAUUAAUUUAAUAUGAGAAUAUAUGGUGGAGAAAAAUUGAAAAACUCCCAUAAAAAAAUGGUUAGACUAAAACAAUAAGAAUUCUCAGUCAUAUCGAGGGGAUUAGUCUCUGCAAUUACACGCGGAUGAUACCUUUAAUUAAAAAAAUAAGAAUAAAAUACAAAGUUGAAAAUAGUUGAAAAAUAAAUGACAUUUUUUUAGAAUUUUUUUUUUGGAAUAUAUUUUGUUACUGGUAUCUUUGUCCAAAUAAAAAAGUGCACCUUGCUAAUUUAGACCUUCAUAUUUUUAGGUGAGUCUAAAUUAGCAAACCCCAUAUUAUAUUAUAUAUAUAUAUAUAGAUUACAAACUAAUAAAAACCUUCCUUAUUUAUCCUUCUAUGUCCACGUACUCUCCUCGUUCAAGUCUAAUACCUACAACCAUAUAUAUAUAAUGUAAGAGUCAAUUUCCUUUUCAAAAUUAUGCCAAUCGAAAGGUAAAUAUAUAUAACAAAAUAAAUAAAUUUGAUGCAAGAAACUCAUUUUAAUAAUAAUAUACAAAUUAAUAACGUUUGAAAUACAACUAGACCAUGAUUCGGAUAUCGCCCCAAUUAGCUUAAUCGCCUCAUAUGCAACUUAAAACAAAUUGCGUGAUUUGACAAUUACUAAUAAAAUCGUUUCAAUUGGCACAUAGUAACAACCAGCCCAUUUGGCACCAAUGACAACAACUAUAUGCCAUGCUAUG
rnacentral:lncRNA from 1 species